rnacentral:misc_RNA from 1 species
GAUGAAGAACGUAGCUAAAUGCGAUAAGUAAUGUGAAUUGCAGAAUUCAGUGAAUCAUCGAAUCUUUGAACGCACAUUGCGCCCGCCAGUAUUCUGGCGGGCAUGCCUGUUCGAGCGUCAUUUCAACCCUCAAGCCCCCGGGCUUGGUGUUGGGGAUCGGCGUGCCCUCGCGGCGCGCCGUCCCCUAAAUCUAGUGGCGGUCUCGCUGUAGCUUCCUCUGCGUAGUAGCAACACUCGCACUGGAUCGCAGCGCGGCCACGCCGUUAAACCCCCCACUUCUGAAAGUUUGACCUCGGAUCAGGUAGGAAUACCCGCUGAACUUAAGCAUAUCAAUAAGCGGAGGA